rnacentral:rRNA from 1 species
UAGCGUAGGGUGCAAGCGUUUGUCCGGAAUUAAUUGGGCGUAAAGAGCUCGUAGGCGGUCUGUCGCGUCGGCUGUGAAAACCCGGGGCUCAACCCCGGGCCUGCCAGUCGAUACGGGCAGACUAAAGUGCGGUAGGGGAGACUGGAAUUCCUGGUGUAGCGGUGAAAUGCGCAGAUAUCAGGAGGAACACCGGUGGCGAAGGCGGGUCUCUGGGCAUGUCCUGACGCUGAGGAGCGAAAGUGUGGGGAGCGAACAGG